rnacentral:lncRNA from 1 species
CAUGGUGCUUACUAGGUGCAGGCCCUGUUCUCUCACUCCUGUAUUUCCUCAUUAAUCCUCACAACCCCACGAGGUGGUAUCAUUUUCUCUACUUUUCAAAUGAGGAAGCCUUGGCUCAGGGAGUUUAGUGACUUUCCCAAGGCCUCAGAGUGAACAAGUGGUGGAGCUGGGAUUUGAACCCUGUCUGCCCGGGCUGCAGAGUCCCUGUCCUUUACCACCCCAGUAUACUCCACUGUCAGAGAAAAAAAUAAAUAUAUUACAAAAUAGUACUUACCCUCACCUCAUGUGAUGCUUUCUGAUAUUUGCUAUUUUAUUUCAUUUCAUCCAAAAGAUUCUUGUCCAUACCCACUACACUGAUUUCCUGACUCUCUCUAAUUGGUCUCAAGCUGCUUCCUGUUACAUCCUACGUCCAGAGUGCCUCCUGCUCCUCCCCACUCCAUCCCAGUGGACGCUUCCCCAGUUCUGGCUGCCUAUUACUUCUUGCCUAGGAUGAGGGUCUUCUCCCAAGGAAAUAUUUUGAAGUUGACUUUCCGGUGAUAGUCACGAGAAAGCUACAGAGCAUCAAAUUCAAGUCUCUCCUAUCAAAAACCAAUUUAGACUUACAUUCAGAGGAGACACUUCAAAUGGGAUUGUAGGAAACAUAUGUAUAUGUGCAUAUCUGCAGGAACUGUUUGCUCAAAGAAUUGGCCAUUAUGAAUUUUAGCUACUGCCCAACUGUUCUUCAAGACCUUUUUAUGAAUUCCUACUUUCACAAAGGCAAAUCCGCCCGCCGUACAAACUAUUGGGACUUCCUGGCUGAUUGUGGUGUGGAUGUUGUAAGUACCAAUUUGCUGUGUGCUUCCCCGCUCCUUCUCCUGUUCCUCUUUAUCCCCGCUCCUUGUUCUCUUCCCCUUUAUCAAUAAACUCUGAUUGCUUAAACAACCAAAUAGCCUUGGCGGUACCUAUCAUUCCUCACCCUUUGUGGCUGCGGACAACAGCAACCCUAACUAGUGAGUGUUAAGGAAAAAAAAAAAAUCAAGCGCCUGCUUUUAAUUCAUGGCAAAUGGGCUGAAAAGCUGAUUUAGUGAAUUAUAAUUUUAGAUUGAAAUUCCCAAGGCAGUUAUAGAGGAGCUUGUCAAACCACAGAAACCAAUGGAAUCAAGAGAUGACUUGAACAGGGCAGUGGUUCAAUCCGUUUCAGAGAUAACAUCCAUUAUGCAAACCCAAAACCUUUAACUUUCU